ensembl:rRNA 5S_rRNA 5S ribosomal RNA
UUCGACAGCCAUAUCACCCUGUAGCCCAAAACUGGUUGCCCACUGAAGCUAAGCAGGGUUGAGCCUGGACAGUACCUGGAUGGGAGACCUCCUGGGAAACAACAGUUCAGGCUGGUGGUG